AACGAACGCUGGCGGCAGGCCUAACACAUGCAAGUCGAACGCCCUAGCAAUAGGGAGUGGCAGACGGGUGAGUAACACGUGGGAACCUUCCCUAUAGUACGGAAUAUACCAGGGAAACUUGGAGCAAUACCGUAUACGCCCGAGAGGGGAAGAUCUAUCGCUAUAGGAUGGGCCCGCGUAGGAUUAGCUAGUUGGUGAGGUAAUGGCUCACCAAGGCGACGAUCCUUAGCUGGUGUAGAGACGACCAGCCACACUGGGACUGAGACACGGCCCAGACUCCUACGGGAGGCAGCAGUGGGGAAUAUUGGACAAUGGGCGCAAGCCUGAUCCAGCCAUGCCGCGUGAGUGAUGAAGG
rnacentral:rRNA from 1 species